AUUGAACGCUGGCGGCAUGCUUUACACAUGCAAGUCGAACGGCAGCACGGGCUUCGGCCUGGUGGCGAGUGGCGAACGGGUGAGUAAUGCAUCGGAACGUACCGUGUAAUGGGGGAUAACGUAGCGAAAGUUACGCUAAUACCGCAUACGCCCUGAGGGGGAAAGCGGGGGAUCGUAAGACCUCGCGUUAUACGAGCGGCCGAUGUCGGAUUAGCUAGUUGGUGGGGUAAAGGCCUACCAAGGCGACGAUCCGUAGCGGGUCUGAGAGGAUGAUCCGCCACACUGGGACUGAGACACGGCCCAGACUCCUACGGGAGGCAGCAGUGGGGAAUUUUGGACAAUGGGCGCAAGCCUGAUCCAGCCAUUCCGCGUGCAGGAUG
rnacentral:rRNA from 1 species